rnacentral:rRNA from 1 species
GACGAACGCUGGCGGCGUGCUUAACACAUGCAAGUCGAACGGAAAGGCUCCAGCUUGCUGGAGUACUCGAGUGGCGAACGGGUGAGUAACACGUGGGUAAUCUGCCCUGCACUCUGGGAUAAGCCUGGGAAACUGGGUCUAAUACUGGAUAUGACCUUUCUCCUUAUGGGGUUUGGUGGAAAGUUUUUCGGUGUAGGAUGAGCCCGCGGCCUAUCAGCUUGUUGGUGGGGUGAUGGCCUACCAAGGCGACGACGGGUAGCCGGCCUGAGAGGGUGAUCGGCCACAUUGGGACUGAGAUACGGCCCAGACUCCUACGGGAGGCAGCAGUGGGGAAUAUUGCACAACGGGCGGAAGCCUGAUGCAGCGACGCCGCGUGAGGGAUGACGGCCUUCGGGUUGUAAACCUCUUUCAGCAGGGACGAAGCGUAAGUGACGGUACCUGCAGAAGAAGCACCGGCUAACUAUGUG